rnacentral:tRNA from 1 species
CGGGGUGUAGCGCAGUUGGUAGCGUACGUCGUUCGGGACGACGGGGUCGCCUGUUCGAGUCAGGUCACCCCGA